rnacentral:lncRNA from 1 species
ACAAGGAGAUUAUUAGGGAUAAAGAGAGGUGUUAUGAAAUGACCUGUGAUCGGUUCUCCGAGAAGCCAUAAGAAUCCCUUUGUAUACAUCUAAUAAUGGAACAUCAAAUUAUUGAGAUAAGGCUUAUAAUGUUUUGCUCUGGUAGGUGGAAGCUAGAGAAAAAAAAAAGAAAAAGAAAGGUGGGGUGGGCCUCAUGAUAGUCGAAGGGAGAUCAGUAGAAUAAAGGAAGGGAGGAUCAGGGGUGAGGGAUAGGGAGGAAGGGAGGUAAACAGAAACUACUGGGGAAUGAUUUGGCUAAAUUAUGUUAUAUCCUAUGCAUGUAUGAAUAGGUAACAAAUUCCACCAUUAUGUACAACUAUAAGGCAACAUUUUUAAAAUCUGGAAAAAAAAAAUCCUUGACAUAAAACAUUGGAAUGCAACGAGAAAUAAAUAAUUUAUCCCAAUAUGAUUUUUCACCAAUAUGAUCUUUCAUUAGAAAGAUUUCCACACCCAUUUGACAGAUUCAGCAGGAAUAACAUAAAUAAGGAUAUAGUUGAGCAGACCAGUUCUGUUAUGGGUCAAUUGUGUCCUUGGAAUGUAUGAUAAAAUAUAAUACUCAGCUCAGUACUUCAAAAUGGGACCUUAUCUGGAAAUAAAGUCAUUCUUGUGGUAAUAAAUUAAGGUGGGGGUCAUACUGGAUUUGGGUGAACCCCAACUCCAGUAUGAUCAAUAUGACUAUUUUUCUAAUGACAGAAAACAGUUCCACAAUGGGAGAAUGCAAAAUGCUGAAGGAGGCAGAAUGAAGUGUUAAAGUCCCAAAUCACGAAAGCCAGGGAUUGAUAGCAAAGUAAUGUAAAAUACAAGGCAAGAAAAAAUUCUCCCUACUGAUUUCAGAGGGAGCAUGGUUCUGCUUACACUUUGAUUUUGUUCUGUUAUUUCAAGUCAACCAAUCUGGUACUUUGUCAUGGGAGCCCUGGAACUCAUUAAAAGCAUAUCAAUCAAUCAAGUCUAAUUGUCAUUUGUGUAAUCCUUCAUUUAACAAUGAGACAAUACACUUUCUUCUCAAGAUCCCAUGAAACAUUCCUCAAAGCAGACCACGGUAUUGGCUAUAAAAUACAUUGACAUACUGAAGAGAAAAGAAAUAAUAUAAAAUGUGCUACCAGACCCACUAAGGAAUUAAAUUAGAAUUCAACAAUAGAGAAUUGAAGAAGCCCCAAAUAUUUGGAAAUUUAAUAAUAUACACCUGGGUCAAAGAAGAAGACUCUAUAGGCAUUUAUAAAUAUUUUGAGCAAAAUGAAAUUAAAAUAUUUAUUGUGGAGUGUACAUAAUUCAAAAGCAUGGGCAGGGGAUAUAGCUCAGUUGAUAGAGUGCUUGCCUCCCAUGAACAGACCCUGGGUUUGAUCCCCAGUACCACACACACUCACUCACACACAAAAUUCAGUGAAAACAAUGUUCAGAAAGAAGUCGAUAGCAUUGCAUGCAAUAUUAGAGAAAAUAAGAAGACCUAAAAUCAAGAAUCGAAGCUUCUUCCUAAAGAAACUGGAGAAAAAGUACAUGAUAAUGUUAAGCAGAUAGAAGGAAACAAA